rnacentral:lncRNA from 1 species
CCCAACCCGCAGAAGGGAGCAUGCCUGGGACAGCUGGGCCAGGGAGGAAUUAAAAGCCCCAGGAUGGUGCUGUGGGCAUGUCCUCAUAUCUUCCUUCAGGUAUUUAUCCUCUGGAUUAGCCCCACCUCGGCUUCCAUCCAGGAUCAAUACUGUGAGAAUUUACCUCCAAGCAGUAACACCACUGGAUUUCUGCUGCUGUUACCAGGAGCGGAAUCCAGCUUCUGGCCAGAUGAGCUCAGGAUAACUGGAUUAAUCCACUCUCAUCUCUAACUAGAUAAGUGGAUUUCAUCUGCAGCCCUUUUUCUCGGCGUGCGUUUCAACUUCACGUGAGCCAGCAGCGCUCCCGUAGGUGGGAUUUUUACAAAACUGCAGGGGAAUUUAGAAAACCUUUGUUCAGGGUAAUUGUAAAUUCGGAGUUUUAUAAUGAAGCUAAUGAGAGCCACAGUAGGGCUGUGAUACGUAAUUAGCUAAUGUCUGUGCGACACUUGGGAACUGGCAUGUGCUCAUAGCAUGGGGAUGAUUAGACUCAAGCGCCGCAUGCUGUUGAGCUCGGUGUCCGCUGAAUACAGAGGAAGGGCUUCCUGGCAUUCUGCAGCGAAAUCGCUUUUCCCAUCGACAAAUAUUAUGGAGCUGGGUUUUAACUCACUUAGGUUCUUAUCCGGCCCCCUUUCUGAUAGCACGUGAGCCCCUCCCAGUCUUUAAGGCAUUUAUUCUCCCAACCCCACUGUGAGGCAGG